AAUCACACAAGACCUUAAAAGCUGAGAACUUCCUCCUGCUGGGGACAGGACAGAUGAGGCAGAAGGGGAGGUUAGGGAGGUUUGAAGAGUGAGAAGAACUUCUGCAGUGGCUGACUUGGAAGAUGAAGGAGGUUAUGAACCAGGGAAUGGGGGCAGCCUCUAGAGGCUGAGAACCUGCUGACACCUACCCACAACCGCUAAGGAAAUGAAGACUUUAAUUCCACAACUGCAUGCAACUAAACUCAGCCAACAACCUGAAUAAGUCGGAAAAAGGCUUCUCCAGAGCCUCCAGAUAAGAGGCCAGGCUGGCGACACCUUGAUUUUGACCUUGUGAGACCUAGAGCAGAGAAACUAGCCAAGAUCACUCAGACUUCUGAUCUACAGAACUGUGAGACCGUAAAUUUAUGUUGUAUUAAGCCACUAAUUGCGUGGGAAUUUGUUACAGGAGCAAUAGAAAAUGAAUACACCUUCUGAUGUAGUUUAAUCAGUUGACAUUAGGGGUGACACCAAGAUGUGCUACACUGAACCCAACUUCUGCAUGUUUAAGACAAGACGCAAGGUCAAAAAUUUACAUCAGGUAUCUGAAUGUGUAGCAUAUACAACUGAGUGUUGAAAGAAGACAAAAUCGUUUUCAUCACGAAGAAUAUGUGCUCAGUAAGAAUCAGAAUGUUCAAUUGUGUGAAGGUGGGAGAUGGGAAGAUUGGUAUUAUGGCCUGGAUCCAGAAAUCAGUCUUCCACUAUAGGAAAUGGGAAUUUAAAGAUGAUCAGAAGACAGUUGGGAGCAGAGUGAGAAUAAGAACCCUCAACUGCUGUCUCACCUUUCAGAUCACGAAGAAGUUUUUUACAAUGAGCAGAACACUCAACCUGAAAGCAGAAUGGAUUGAGUCACUGCAGCGUGGCAGUGGAAUGGUGUUUGAUGUUGGCAAAGGAAACAUGUACUUCUAGACUGGACAGUUUUCCCUUAGUUUACAGUUUCCAAAUAGAGACAUCACUUUGAAAUAACAUGGAGAACAUACAUGGAUGUACUGAACGAAGAAUAAAGUCUGUGUUGCAGUCCUGUCUCCAUUGACUUUUACAAAUAUGGCUUUGGAUGAAUCACCUAAGUUUUAUUUUUGAGAAUUUACGCUUACCAUGUAUAAAAUGAUAUUGCUAAUAUGUUUGCUGCCUACCCCAUUGGGUUUUGUGAGGAAUAAAUGAUAAUGCUAAG
rnacentral:lncRNA from 1 species